GGACCUUUAUUUAAUUCUUCAGGAUUUCUUUGGUUCGGUGGUUGUGGGUUUUGUUUGAUUUUGUGUGUGGGGACGUGUGAUGCAAAUUAGGAGAAAAAAAUUAGAGGGUAGAAUUGAUGCCGCCAGAGCCAUUGCCUUGGGAUCGAAAGGACUUCUUCAAGGAGAGGAAGCACGAUCGGUGGAGGGAGCCUACACCCCACCACCACUACACUUCUUCACGAUGGAAUCCUGAUUAUCGUUCUAGAGCCACUUCUGGUCAUGGUGGUAAGCAGGGUAGUUAUCACAUGUGUCCUGAAGAACCUGGACAUGGUUUCAUGCCUUCUCGUUCGAAUGAUAAGAUUGUUGAAGAUGAGAGCAAUCGGCCAUCUCGCGGGGAUGGUGGGAGAUAUGGAAGAAAUAGCAGGGAAAAUAGGUCCUUUGGUCAGAGGGACUGGAGAGGUGGUCACUCCUGGGAAGCUGCAUCCCCCAGUGGUUCUGCAAGACAGAACGAUGCUACAAAUGAUCAGAGGUCAAUGGAUAUUGCGGUGCCUCACAGUCUUUCUCAUCCUCAUUCUGAGCAUGUUAACACAUGUGAUCAAUCUCACUCCAGAGAGCAGCACAAUAAGAGUGGUAGUAUUAACGGAACUGCAAGCGUGGGGCAAAGAUUUGAGAGGGAGAGCUCGCUGGGGUCAAUCGAAUGGAGGCCAUUGAAAUGGACUCGGUCUGGAAGCUUAUCAUCAAGGGGAUCAUUAAGUCAUUCUGGUAGCUCAAAAAGUAUGGGAGUGGAUUCUAAUGAGACAAAGCCUGAAUUGCAGCUUGGAAACUCGAAAGCUGUUAAAUCUCUUACAGGGGAUGCAACUGCUUGUGUAACUUCUGCUACCCCCUCUGAAGAGACAUCUUCCAGGAAGAAACCGCGUCUGGGUUGGG
rnacentral:misc_RNA from 1 species